AUUGAACGCUGGCGGCAUGCCUUACACAUGCAAGUCGAACGGCAGCACGGGGCAACCUGGUGGCGAGUGGCGAACGGGUGAGUAAAGUAUCAGAACGUACCAUUCAGUGGGGGAUAACGUAGCGAAAGUUACGCUAAUACCGCAUAUUCUCUCCGGAGGAAAGCAGGGGAUCGCAAGACCUUGCGCUGAUUGAGCGGCCGAUAUCAGAUUAGCUAGUUGGUGGGGUAAAGGCUCACCAAGGCGACGAUCUGUAGCGGGUCUGAGAGGAUGAUCCGCCACACUGGAACUGGGACACGGUACAGACUCCUACGGGAGGCAGCAGUGGGGAAUUUUGGACAAUGGGCGCAAGCCUGAUCCAGCCAUGCCGCGUGAGUGAAGAAGGCCUUCGGGUUGUAAAGCUCUUUCGGCCGGGAAGAAAUCGCAUGGGUUAAUACCCUGUGUGGAUGACGGUACCGGAAUAAGAAGCACCGGCUAACUACGUGCCAGCCGCCGCCGUAACAC
rnacentral:rRNA from 1 species